rnacentral:rRNA from 1 species
AACGAACGCUGGCGGCAGGCCUAACACAUGCAAGUCGAACGAGAUCUUCGGAUCUAGUGGCGCACGGGUGCGUAACGCGUGGGAAUCUGCCCUUGGGUUCGGAAUAACAGUUAGAAAUGACUGCUAAUACCGGAUGAUGACGAAAGUCCAAAGAUUUAUCGCCCAAGGAUGAGCCCGCGUAGGAUUAGCUAGUUGGUGAGGUAAAGGCUCACCAAGGCUACGAUCCUUAGCUGGUCUGAGAGGAUGAUCAGCCACACUGGGACUGAGACACGGCCCAGACUCCUACGGGAGGCAGCAGUAGGGAAUAUUGGACAAUGGGCGAAAGCCUGAUCCAGCAAUGCCGCGUGAGCGAUGAAGGCCUUAGGGUUGUAAAGCUCUUUUACCCGGGAUGAUAAUGACAGUACCGGGAGAAUAAGCCCCGGCUAACUCCGUGCCAGCCGCCGCCGUAA